GCGCCUAACACAUGCAAGUCGCACGAGAAAGGGCUUCGGCCCCGGUACAGUGGCGCACGGGUGAGUAACACGUGGGUAAUGUUUCCUCGGGCGGGGGAUAACCUUCCGAAAGGAGGGCUAAUACCGCAUAAGACCACGGCUUCGAAAGAAGCUGAGGUCAAAGCAGGCCUCUUCAUGAAAGCCUGCACCUGAGGAUCAGCCCGCGGCCCAUCAGCUUGUUGGCAGGGUAACGGCCUACCAAGGCUAAGACGGGUAGCUGGUCUGAGAGGAUGAUCAGCCACACUGGAACUGAGACACGGUCCAG
rnacentral:rRNA from 2 species